AAAUUGAAGAGUUUGAUCAUGGCUCAGAUUGAACGCUGGCGGCAGGCCUAACACAUGCAAGUCGAACGGUAACAGGAAACAGCUUGCUGUUUCGCUGACGAGUGGCGGACGGGUGAGUAAUGUCUGGGAAACUGCCUGAUGGAGGGGGAUAACUACUGGAAACGGUAGCUAAUACCGCAUAACGUCGCAAGACCAAAGAGGGGGACCUUCGGGCCUCUUGCCAUCGGAUGUGCCCAGAUGGGAUUAGCUAGUAGGUGGGGUAACGGCUCACCUAGGCGACGAUCCCUAGCUGGUCUGAGAGGAUGACCAGCCACACUGGAACUGAGACACGGUCCAGACUCCUACGGGAGGCAGCAGUGGGGAAUAUUGCACAAUGGGCGCAAGCCUGAUGCAGCCAUGCCGCGUGUAUGAAGAAGGCCUUCGGGUUGUAAAGUACUUUCAGCGGGGAGGAAGGGAGUAAAGUUAAUACCUUUGCUCAUUGACGUUACCCGCAGAAGAAGCACCGGCUAACUCCGUGCCAGCAGCCGCGGUAAUACGGAGGGUGCAAGCGUUAAUC
rnacentral:rRNA from 1 species